GGUGUGCGUGCAUGCAUAUGUGUACAUGAGUGUGCAUAUGUGUGUGUAAUCACACGUGAGUGUGCAUGGCACAUGUAAAUGUGUGCGCACAAGUAUGUGAGGGUGUGUGCAUGUGUGCUGUGUGUAUGUACCUGAGUGUGUGUGCAUGUGUGUGUAAUCGCACGAGUGUGCAUGGCACGUGUAAAUGUGUAUACACACGUGCGUGAGGAUGUGUGCAUAUGUGCUUUGUGUAUGUACCUCAGUGUGCAUGUUUGUAAUCACACGUGUGUGGUGCAUGUAAAUGUGUGUGUACAAGUGUGUGUGUGUGUGCAUGUGUGAUGUGUGUAUGCACCUGAGUGUGCAUGUGUGUGUAAUCACACGUGAGUGUGCGUGGCACAUAUAAAUGUGUGUACAAGUGUGUGAGAGCAUGUGUGCGUGUGUGGUGAGUGUAUAUUCCUGCGUGCACACAUGCGUGCGUGUGUGUGUGUGUGUAGAAGCAACAAAGGAAAGGGACCCCUGGAACUGAGGGUCAUGCCUCCCACCAGCUCCAGCUGUGGCUCCCCAGACCCAUCCUGAGCAGAGAGCUCCGGUGUUGCGGGGCUGAAGCUGCAGCUGGUGGAGCUCUGCCUCCCCUCUCUGUGCCCUGCCAACAGCCUGCGGACAUGGGUCUGGCUGCCUGGGCUCUGUCCGGAAGCCGUCCCUCCUCCCGCUUGGCCCAGGCUGUGGCUGGCCGGCUGGCAUGGGGCAGGCCCAUCUGGCUCGGGUGUAGAAACAAAACAACAUUCAAGCCAGCACACAUGAGCAGGGCGGAGGCCCGCAUGCAGUGGUACAAAAUAGACAGCGUGUCCUUGCCUGCCCCCACGUGUCCAUCCACCCAUCGAGCCAUCCAUCCACCCCCCACCCACAUGGGCCAAUUCAGCUCAACGCAGGCUGGAUCUGCAGCGCGGAGAUUGGAGCCUUAUUUUGCACAGCCUGGUGUCCGGGGAAGGCAGAGAUACAGAAAGUCAAUUCUCCAUUCAUGCCGCCUCCACACGCUGCCUCCUGAUGACCACUGGCUCCCGCGGUCAGCUGGAUGAUGGUCAAAUGUCUCAUCUCAGCAUCCAAGCUGCGUUUUUAACCCUUCUGGCCUCAGCAGUUCCCCGCCCUGGUCACUCGGCAAAUGUGACGUGAGCGAGGUGCA